GAUGAAGAACGUAGCGAAAUGCGAUACUUGGUGUGAAUUGCAGAAUCCCGUGAACCAUCGAGUCUUUGAACGCAAGUUGCGCCCGAAGCCAUUAGGCCGAGGGCACGCCUGCCUGGGCGUCACACGUCGUUGCCCCCCCAUCUACUCCUUCGGGAUUGCGGGGGGCGGAUGAUGGCCUCCCGUGCGCCUCGUCGCGCGGUUGGCAUAAAUGCCAAGUCCUCGGCGACGCACGCCACGACAAUCGGUGGUUGCGAAACCUCGGUUGCCCGUCGUGUGCGGUCGUCGCGCAUCGAGGGCUCGAAAAAAUUGCCGGCUCUGUUUCGGCUUUCAACGCGACCCCAGGUCAGGCGGGGUUACCCGCUGAAUUUAAGCAUAUCAAUAAGCGGAGGA
rnacentral:misc_RNA from 1 species